CCUACGGGUAGCAGCAGUGGGGAAUAUUGGGCAAUGGAGGCAACUCUGACCCAGCAACGCCGCGUGAAUGAUGAAGGUCUUCGGAUUGUAAAGUUCUGUGAUGGGGGAUGAACACAAUGACGGUACCCCCAUAGCAAGCCACGGCUAACUACGUGCCAGCAGCCGCGGGAAUACGUAGGUGGCAAGCGUUAUCCGGAAUGACUGGGCGUAAAGGGUGCGUAGGUGGGUUAGUAAGUUGGCGGUGUCAUUCCGGGGCUUAACCUCGGCGCUACCGCCAAAACUAUUAGACGAGAGUGCAGGAGGGGUAAGUGGAAUGCCUAGUGUAGCGGUGGAAUGCGUAGAUAUUAGGAGGAACAUCAGGGGCGAAGGCGACUUACUGGACUGUAACUGACACUGAGGCACGAAAGCGUGGGGAGCAAACAGGAUUAGAUACCCCUGUAGUC
rnacentral:rRNA from 1 species